rnacentral:miRNA from 1 species
UUGACACAUUCCAGCCAAUCAGCAGCAGACCCUCCCUCCCAUACCCUCCCACCUCCUGGACAGCUCACUAAGAAUGCAGCUUCACAAUGAAUGUAAAAUGGAUGCUGUCCAGGAGGUGGGAGGGUCUGGGAGGGAGGGUCUGCUGCUGAUUGGCUGGAAUGUGUCU